UACGAGGGGGGCGAGCGUUGUUCGGAAUUAUUGGGCGUAAAGGGUGCGUAGGCGGUUCCGCAAGUCCUGUGUGAAAUCUUCGGGCUCAACUCGAAGUCUGCACGGGAAACUGCGGGGCUUGAGUAUGGGAGAGGACGAGGGAAUUCCUGGUGUAGCGGUGAAAUGCGUAGAUAUCAGGAGGAACACCGGUGGCGAAAGCGCUCGUCUGGCCCAAUACUGACGCUGAUGCGCGAAAGCUAGGGGAGCAAACGGG
rnacentral:rRNA from 1 species